UGCCAGCCGCCGCGGUAAUACGGAGGGUGCAAGCGUUGUUCGGAAUUAUUGGGCGUAAAGCGCGUGUAGGCGGUUCGUUAAGUCUGAUGUGAAAGCCCGGGGCUCAACCCCGGAAGUGCAUUGGAAACUGGCGAACUUGAGUACGGGAGAGGAAAGUGGAAUUCCGAGUGUGGAGGUGAAAUUCGUAGAUAUUCGGAAGAACACCAGUGGCGAAGGCAUCUCUCUGGGCCGAUAUUGACGCUGAGGAACGAAAGCCAGGGGAGCGAAUGGGAUUAGAUA
rnacentral:rRNA from 1 species